AAUUGUUCUCUAAAAACUUACUCAAUAGUUAUUACUCUAAUCUGAAAAAUUCACACAGAAAUUUUGACGUCUGCAGCAAACCCAAUGAGAACAAAUUUGAAGGGCCUGUUCCUGAUACUAUCGCCUUCUUAGUAAACCUUGAGGAAUUUUAAUAUUUUCCUAACCUUUAUGAAGCACAUAUUUCUCAACUUCAGGUAUUAAAAUGAAGAAUUUCUUUUUCUAACCCAUGAUUUCCAAUUGUAUUGACUGGCUAGCAAUUAUUGCUGAUUUGCUAGGAAUCCAUAGAGGAGAAGGUUUCUUAUUCCCAUUGUUCCAUCAUUGCAACAACCUUAAAAACCUGUAAGAGAAGUCGACUUUCUUCAUAUAUACAUCACUGAAAAUUUCAUGCUAAGCAUCUACUCCUUUCAGCUCAAAAUGCUUUCCAUAGAAUAAUUUCAGCCAGACAUUUUAGAGCCAAUAUUUUGUUUAAUUUUAAUUUUUUGGUUUAUAUGCACCUGAAAAACAUUAAAUACUUUUUUUUUUCAAAUGAUCAAUUUAUACAUGCUGCUGAUUUUUUUUAAAUUUACCCAUUCAGAUAUCUGACAGGAAAUAAGCUUAAUGGAUUGCUUCUUGUAUGGGUUGCAGACUUAACAGAAGCUAAUGUGCUAGUCUCUUUUCCUUCCUCUGUUUCUUUAUUUCUUUGUCAUUCGGGUUAGUGGGUUAGAGUCAAGUAAGUUUCUUGGGAGCAGUUCUCAUACCAGAACUUCACAAAUUUUUACAUAUUAUGUGGCAUCAUGAGUAUUAGCAGCUUUUGCCUCUUUGCUGCCCCAAAACUUGCUUACAUUGUUCUUUCCAAAUGCUCAUCCAUUACUAUGUUGCUUUGGACCCAAAAUAGUCUUAAUCCUAAACCAGUGUGGUUGCAACCGGUAAGAUUGCUUUGUUCUUCUUAAACUGCAUAUUUUAUCCCAUGAUUGCAUAUGAAUUCUCAUUGGAAUUUUCAUAAUCAUGUCAGUUUUUAAUAGAUGAAGUAUUUUUACAAUAUUUAUUGAUUAGAGUUCUACAAAUCUCAAGAGUGGAAAAUGUUUCCAGAAUUUAAGACAGAUGGUUUUUCUCGUUAAUUUGACUAAUGAUAUUAACUACUUUGAUGGUUUCCACUGUGUUUUUGCUCAGAGAUUUCUCCAAGAAUAAUUUCACAGAAUUACCCUCACAACUGAACCCCACAUCCAGAUUGUAAGGCAAACCUAAAGAAGUCGUAGCUCAAUUUCUCUAUCUGUUCAUAAAUUAUGGUGGUAAAAGGAUAGAAAUACAAUGAGAUACUUAUGAGCCUGAUACACAUGAAGAAGGAACUUCAACUUUCCAUAUAAAUGAUGAAAGCAAUUGGGGAUACAAUAGUAUGACAGCGUAAUGACUGGAUACAAAAGUUCACGAACUAAUACAGUCAAUAUACCAUUUGAAGCUCCUGUUUUGUAUAGGACAGCACACGUUGCUUCAAUAUCCUUAACCCUUCAUUUUGCUGAAAUAGCGAUGAAGGAAGAAGCAGGUCACAGAAUCAGAGGGAAGCGACUUUUUGAUGUGAUCAUUCAGGUAAUUGCCUCUGCGUCCACCCAAAAACAAAAAAGGAAAGAAAAAGUUGCUCAGUGGCUGUACUUAUAUAUGCUUAUAGCCUGAUUGUUACUAUAGGAAUAAGGACACAAAGUUGAACUGGUCCUCUUAUAUCAGUACAUCCUGGUAGUUUCUCUCCCUCCUUUAUCGUGUUACAGCUAGUGUUCCUCUCCUCAUGUCCACAUAUAUUGACGCCAUGCAUUGUUUUGUUUCUUUUGGUUCUGUUCCUAAACCUAGAAAGCCUUUCAAGAUAUUGUCGACUUUGGGUAAAGUUGCUCUUGUUGGAUCAGUAAAUCUUGUACCUAACAGAGAUGAAAUUGAUCCUGCAAAAUAUCUCAGCUCAUGAUCCGCUGACAUACUUCAUUAUUUUGACACAUUCCUUACUUGUUUCAUUUAUGUUUUGAUGCAGAACGGAAAGAUAUUGAGUCAUUGCCUGGAGGGUUUUUCAGUUUCCGGCAUAUAAAAGCUACCUUCACUUGGCUUCUGCAUGAAAAUUCUUUGAAACUAAUAACAAAAUGGUAACUCAUGUUGUACAAUGAACAGGUUCGGAGGAGCUGAGAUGUAAACUUAAUUGGACAACUAGAGUUAAAAUUUGCCAUGGAAUGGCGAAGGGAUUGGUUUAUCUUCAUGAGGAUUGCAUGCUAAAAGUUGUUCAUAGGGAUAUCAAGACAACUAACAUUCUUCUUGACAAGGAUUUCAAUGCAAAGAGAUCUGAUUUUGGAUUUGCUAAGCUUUAUGAAGGAGAGAAAACACAAGUCAUCACCAGAAUAGCAAGAACCACGUAAUGAACCUUUGUUUACCCACCUGAUUUGGUGAGCACAAUUGAGCUGCUUUCACUUAAAACUGCUAAUACUUUCCUAGCCCAUCUCCUACACUGAGGACUACCAUGUCUGAAGUUGAAAAGAUUAUCCAGGGCGAAGUCAACUAAAUUCUGCUCCAAUCCAUGCUCCUUAUUCAACUGAUGGUUUUGCCCUUGCCUAGGCCGUUGCUAGCUGCUCAUUUUCCAUGCGCUCUACUGGGAGCUUCUCCAGAGAAGAGGCAUCAAACCCUGUGAGAAGUGCAUAAUAUCUCUGCUGAUUACUCUCCCGAGAUUAUUACUGACAAGGCUGAGAGUUCACCAGCUAAGGAACUUUAGCUGCCCACUUCAUGUUCUAGAAUCUGCCCCAAAAUGUUUUACGUUUCCUUUCUAUACAAGUAUACUACCUCUAGGUUUUUAAAUUCUUAUUUUUAUGUAUAAAUUUUGCCAAACCUUAUCAUGUACAAAUGUCUGAUUUUACUUCGCAUAUAAACUUAUUUCAAUGGAAUAUUCUCAGAAAUUUAUAAUCUUUA